CCCUUCCGGGAGCGUUGCACAGGUGCUGCAUGGCUGUCGUCAGCUCGUGUCGUGAGAUGUUCGGUUAAGUCCGCUAACGAGCGCAACCCUCGCUGUGUGUUAUAUGUGUCACACGGGACUGCCGGUCUUAAGCCGGAGGAAGGUGGGGAUGAUGUCAAGUCAGCAUGGCCUUUAUAUCCUGGGCUACACACACGCUACAAUGGCCAACACAAUAGGUUGCUAAGCCGCGAGGUGGCGCCAAUCCAUAAAGUUGGUCUCAGUUCAGAUUGUAGGCUGCAACCCGCCUGCAUGAAGUUGGAACCGCUAGUAAUCGUGGAUCAGCCAAGCCGCGGUGAAUACGUUCCCGGGCCUU
rnacentral:rRNA from 1 species